rnacentral:lncRNA from 1 species
AGGAGAAAAUCAUCUCAGAACUGAAAUGUUUGUCAAAGGAAGCCAGAAGAAUAGAUGAGAAACAAGGUCGGGGGCGGAAACAGGUAGGAACAAGACUUAUUUUUGUGUCAUUUUGAUUUGUGAACCAUACGAUGUUUAGCUAUUUGAAAUAAGCUGAAAGUCUUGUGGUAGUGGCGUUAUCCAUU